AACGAACGCUGGCGGCGCGCCUAAUACAUGCAAGUCGAGCGAGAAGACGUAGCAAUACGUUUGUAAAGCGGCGAACGGGUGAGGAAUACAUGGGUAACCUACCCUCCGAGUGGGGAAGUAACUAGCCGAAGGUUAGCUAAUACCGCGUACGCUCCUUGGACUUCGGUUUCAGGGAGGAAAGCGAUACCGUGGGUAUCGCGCUCUUGGAUGGGCUCAUGUCCUAUCAGCUUGUUGGUGAGGUAACGGCUCACCAAGGCUUCGACGGGUAGCUGGUCUGAGAGGACGAUCAGCCACACUGGCACUGCGACACGGGCCAGACUCCUACGGGAGGCAGCAGUAAGGAAUAUUGCGCAAUGGGCGAAAGCCUGACGCAGCGACGCCGCGUGGGGGAUGAAGGU
rnacentral:rRNA from 1 species